GAAAUGCGAUAAGUAAUGUGAAUUGCAGAAUUCAGUGAAUCAUCGAAUCUUUGAACGCACCUUGCGCUCCUUGGUAUUCCUCGGAGCAUGCCUGUUUGAGUAUCAUGAAAUUAUCAAAAUAAAUCUUUUGUUCACUCGAUCGAUUUUAUUUUGGACUUGGGGGUCUGCAGAUUCACGUCUGCUCCCCUUGAAUGCAUUAGCUGGAUCACUGUAGACUCGGUUCCACUCGGCGUGAUAAGUAUCACUCGCUGAGGACACUCGUAAAAAAGGUGGCCGGGAUUAUUAGAGAACCGCUUCCAAUAGUCCAUUAGCUUGGACAAUUACAUUAUGAUCUGAUCUCAAAUCAGGUAGGACUACCCGCUGAACUUAA
rnacentral:misc_RNA from 1 species